AGAGUUUGAUCAUGGCUCAGGAUGAACGCUGGCGGCGUGCUUAACACAUGCAAGUCGAACGGAGUUUUAACGGAAGUUUCGGAUGGAAGUUAAGAACUAGUGGCGGACGGGUGAGUAACGCGUGGGUAACCUGCCUCAUACAGGGGGGAUAACAGUUAGAAAUGACUGCUAACACCGCAUAAUAUAGUGAAACCGCAUGAUUCUGCUAUCAAAUAUUUAUAGGUAUGAGAUGGGCCCGCGUCUGAUUAGCUAGUUGGUGGGGUAAAAGCCUACCAAGGCGACGAUCAGUAGCCGGCUUGAGAGAGUGACCGGCCACAUUGGGACUGAGACACGGCCCAAACUCCUACGGGAGGCAGCAGUGGGGAAUAUUGGACAAUGGGGGAAACCCUGAUCCAGCGACGCCCGCGUGAGUGAAGAAGUAUUUCGGUAUGUAAAGCUCUAUCAGCAGGGAAGAUAAUGACAGUACCUGACUAAGAAGCCCCGGCUAACUACGUGCCAGCAGCAGC
rnacentral:rRNA from 1 species